CGCAUUACGUCAAUCUGUGUAUUACAAAACCUUUAAAAUCAAAACUAUUUCACAGUUUGCUUUAGUUCUAGAGAGGAUAGAUCAAUCAUACCAUACUGUUGAAAAAAUGUUGAAUUUGAUUAUAUCUUUAAUAGUGUUUUUUCUCUCUGUACUAGGAACUAACGCGCAAGUCUGUGUCCUGGACAUAUCCAGCUCCAACGUCUUAGUCUUAGAUCUACAAUACAAAAUUCUACUCCCUGAGAGCAACGAAACUACAAUUAAUUUCACUCGUGGUGCUAAUUUUUUGCUAGGUUGUAUCGAAGGAUAUACUAGCCCAGACCUCCCCGACAUUCCCGGUAGGGUAUCUUGCUAUAACAGUACCCAUCUCUCCCUGUACUACAGAUCGGCAUACCUUACAUUCGCCGAUAUUAAAUGCGUACAGAAAGUUCCUGCGACGGCUCAAGUAAGAACUAGUAUAUGUCAAAAUAAAGGCCAUGACGUCAACCUGGGAUACCCACAAUCAAACCAGUUUACCACCCUGUACACAUUAUAAUAAUAAUAAUAAUAAUAAUAAUAAUAAUUUAUUUACGGAAUAUAACUCCACUUUACAAAUAAAGGAAAAAAAAAACA